rnacentral:rRNA from 1 species
GACGAACGCUGGCGGCGUGCUUAACACAUGCAAGUCGAACGGAAAGGCCCUGCUUUUGUGGGGUGCUCGAGUGGCGAACGGGUGAGUAACACGUGAGUAACCUGCCCUUGACUUUGGGAUAACUUCAGGAAACUGGGGCUAAUACCGGAUAGGAGCUCCUGCUGCAUGGUGGGGGUUGGAAAGUUUCGGCGGUUGGGGAUGGACUCGCGGCUUAUCAGCUUGUUGGUGGGGUAGUGGCUUACCAAGGCUUUGACGGGUAGCCGGCCUGAGAGGGUGACCGGCAACAUUGGGACGGAGAUACGGCCCAGACUCCUACGGGAGGCAGCAGUGGGGAAUAUUGCACAAUGGGCGGAAGCCUGAUGCAGCAACGCCGCGUGCGGGAUGACGGCCUUCGGGUUGUAAACCGCUUUCGCCUGUGACGAAGCGUGAGUGACGGUAAUGGGUAAAGAAGCACCGGCUAACUACGG